rnacentral:tRNA from 1 species
GGAGAGAUGGCCGAGGGUUAAGGGUAGCAUUGGAACUGCUAUGUAGGCUUUUGUUUACCGAGGGUUCGAAUCCCUCUCUUUCCG